GCCUCAGUGGAGGACAUGGAAGACAGAGGUAUACAGCACUGAACUGACAAUUCUGAUUCAGCCAACUUACAUUUGCCUAUGAAGACAUUCAAGCUGGCCCUGAUGCUGUACAUCUGUGACUUUAGGGCUUGAGGCAGGAGCACUAUACAAUGAGACCCUGGCUGAAGUAACUUCUGUUGGGUCUUCUAUGGGGACAACGCCCACUGUACCAGGAGGAAAGUCUUAUUGAGAACAGAGGGAAUAUACUGUAAGUCAAAUCUUUUUUUUUUUUCAGUAUUUCAAUAAACACUGAUUAUGUACAGUCUGGGGGAAAAAAUGAACAGAGUGUAGUUGUGAAACAUGUCCUUUUUACACUCAGAAGCAGUUUCUCCCUGGAUGAAGUUGACUGAAUUGCCCAUCUGUCUCUCUAAUCCCACAUGGCAAGACUACUCUGCUCUGACUUUGAGGACUUAUACCUUCAGUUAAUCCUAAAGGAUGUGAAUUUUUUAUUAUGACAGACUUCACAAAUGACUGCCAGUCAUCUAUUCAGUGGCAGGUACCAGUGUUGAAAGAGACCUUACACAUCACCACAUGGAAAAUGACAUUUGACAGGGUUCUCAAAGU